rnacentral:rRNA from 1 species
AUUGAACGCUGGCGGCAGGCCUAACACAUGCAAGUCGAGCGGAGCGGCGGACGGGUGAGUAAUGCCUAGGAAUCUGCCUGGUAGUGGGGGAUAAAGUCCGGAAACGGGCGCUAAUACCGCUUACUAUCAGAUGAGCCUAGGUCGGAUUAGCUAGUGGGUGGGGUAAAGGCCUAGCAAGGCGACGAUCCGUAACUGUUCUGAGAGGAUGAUCAGUCACACGGUAACUGAGACACGGUCCAGACUCCUACGGGAGGCAGCAGUGGGGAAUAUUGGACAAUGGGGGAAAGCCUGAUCCAGCCAUGCCGCGUGUGUGAAGAAGGUCUUCGGAUUGUAAAGCACUUUAAGUUGGGAGGCGGUACCAACAGAAUAGGCACCGGCUAACUUCGUGCCAGCAGCCGCGGUAAUUC